rnacentral:lncRNA from 1 species
UCUCAAUGAAUACGAAUUCCAUAUUCUAUAUUUCUCUCUACAAUACAUAUAAUCCUUGUUCUUGUCUGUAUGUUAGUUGCUAGUAGGUCGUUGUUUCACAACACGUUAUCAGCACGAUUCGCAUUUGAAGUUAGAUCAUAUUAUCGUAUGUUACGAUAGUCCUCAAUUUCGCUACACCCAGACAACUUUUUUGUUUGCAUUUUCGUUUCACAACCGCUUGAAGCCACCAACGACCGAUUGAGUGCAUCUAACUAUUUUGCAAUUAAGGUACCUUCUAAACCAUCCCUUGAUCUUAUAUGCAAUACACACAUCGCACACAAGUAUUUUGUUUAGAAGUAUUUGAAUACAACUAAUUAUAUAUCUGAUAUGUUUAUGGAUAGUAACCAUUGAAAUAGAAAAAAUAAUAUUAAGAUGACCUUAAAACAAUUUUUUGGUUGAAAUCUUUUGAGUCAAUCGGUUCGGAUAACCUCCUUUCUUUUAAAUGAAAAAUAUCAUGAAUAAAACCAUCAAGUUGAAAAUAGCUUUUGCUAACAACCGAAAAUUGUUGUUGGAUAAGAUUAUUAGACCAGAUUUAAUGAAUGGAAGGGUCCGCUUAUUAUCUUAUUUAAAUUGAAUAAAUUCUUUUUAUUGCCUAAUUAAUUAUAUUUAGUCAAUUGUAAUUAAUGUGUGUUCAAUCUUCAAUUGUCUAGUAUUUAUGUGACUCUUUCUUUAUUCAAUUUAAAGAGUAAAUUUGUAACUAUUGAAGAUUACCAUAUCACAUUGUCCUUGCGAAUAUUUAUAUUAAUAUACAAAAGCUUUUAUAUUGUAAUAAUAUUAUUUUAUUCAUAUAAACUUAAUUAAUCAAGAAACCGUAAUAUUAUUUAUUACAUUCAAUUAUAUAGCUAUAAAUGCUAUUUUGUUUUAGAAAAGGAGAUUUCGUAACUGAAGUUUGAUUGAAACAUUAAAUAUUUUUCAAAGUUCGUAACUAAAGCUUAAUUAAAGUUAAAAGUUAAGACAUUAAAUAAUUUUCAAAAGAAUCGAAUAAGGUGAACUAUUUUCUUUAGUUUUUGAAAAUUAACUUUUAUCAUAGAAAUCAAAACAAAGUUUGGGUCUCAGUCCCUUAUCCAAUAGAUAUUUAAAUGAGGUAGCUAAUAUUUUAAAAGCUCAUUAGUUGAAUAUUUUUAAUUAAGUAUUUAAUCAUUCAUCAGGUUGUUAGACCUGACAAUUAGUAAACAUUUACAUGAUGCUAUACAUUAUAUGAUGCUAUGAUUAUUUAUUUUAUGUAGACUGUAGUUACUAGAAAAUGAACUAGUUUUCUUCAAAAAAAAAAAUGAACUAGUUAGUGGUAUCUAUUAUCUCAUAACUCGUAUUAUUGGUUUUCAUAAAUUGAGUGGUAUAUGUUAACAAAAUGAAAAAUUAUUCCAAAUUAUGGGUACCAUGGAUGAAAUCAUUAAAUUUAAUUCAAAGUAAUUGGUGGACUUCCAUUAGCCUUGUCUUUGUUAACCACGUUUUAAUUUUCACUAUGUAUGUGAUUUGAGUUUUCUACGGGUCGUUCUUUUUAAUGCUUUACAAAUUCGACCUUUAAUUUUUUUAUAAUUUGAUUUUUGUUAAAGCUUAUUAUACAACAAUUUACAACAAAAUAAGGUUAUUUGAGUAUGCUAUAUCACCAAAAUGAAUUAAGAAAACUUUAUAUCAAUGUGUAUGGAGUUUUUGGAUCAUGGGUUUUUGAUAUUACAAGUUUGACAACACGUAAGAUAAUUGGAUAA